rnacentral:rRNA from 1 species
AGGGCACCACCAGGAGUGGAGCCUGCGGCUUAAUUUGACUCAACACGGGGAAACUCACCCGGCCCGGACACUGGAAGGAUUGACAGAUUGAGGGCUCUUUCUUGAUUCAGUGGGUGGUGGUGCAUGGCCGUUCUUAGUUGGUGGAGUGAUUUGUCUGGUUAAUUCCGAUAACGAACGAGACUCUAGCCUACUAAAUAGACCUCGGCAUUCCAACUGUCGAGGCGCUUCUUAGAGGGACAGGCGGCGUUUCAGCCGCAUGAGAAAGAGCAAUAACAGGUCUGUGAUGCCCUUAGAUGUCCGGGGCCGCACGCGCGCUACACUGAAGAGAUCAGCGUGCAUGUGCUUCCUACUCCGAAAGGAGCGGGAAACCGAGUGAACCUUUUUCGUGCUUGGGAUUGGGGAUUGUAAUUAUUCUCCAUGAACGAGGAAUUCCCAGUAAGCACAAGUCAUCAGCUUGUGUUGAUUACGUCCCUGCCCUUUGUACACACCGCCCGUCGCUACUACCGAUUGGAUGUUUUA